GCGCAUCUAAUGUAGUGGUAUCAUAGUACCCUGCCACGGUACUGACCGGGGUUCUAUUCCCCGGAUGUGCA